rnacentral:rRNA from 1 species
UCAGCUACCUCUCGACUUACACAUGCAAGUGUCAGCACACCCGUGAGAACGCCCUUCUAACCUCACCAGGACAAGGAGCUGGUAUCAGGCACAGAUUUUCUAGCCCAUAACACCUAGCUUUGCCACACCCUCAAGGGAAUUCAGCAGUGAUUAACAUUGUUCAUAAGCGUAAGCUUGACUCAGUCAGAGAACUAAGAGCCGGCUAAUACGGUGCCAGCCGCCGCGGCUACACCGCUAGGCUCAAGUUGAUACUACUCGGCGUUAAGCGUGUUUAAAGUGCCUCUAAGAUUAGAGUUAAACCGCAACCAAGCUGUGACACGCUUGUUUAAAGAAACACAAAAACGAAAGUUACUCUAACCAAACCACUUGACCCCACGAUAGCUAGGGCACAAACUGGGAUUAGGUACCCCACUAUGCCUAGCCGUAAAAUAUUUACCUACACCUUUAACCGCCCGGGAAUUACGAGCCCAAGCUUAAAACCCAAAGGACUUGACGGUGCCCCACCCACCUAGAGGAGCCUGUUCAAUAAUUCGAUUCCAGGUCAAGGUGCAGCCCACGAAGUGGCAAGAAAUGGGCUACAAUUUAUACUAAUAGAGCAUAACGAAAGACUACAUGCAAUCUAGUCAUGAAGGCGGAUUUAGAAGUAAAAAGAAAAUAGAGAGUUCUUUUUAACGUGGCGCUGGGACGCGUACACACCGCCCGUCACCCUCUCCAAACGCUUCUGCAAAGUUAAUAACAAAAUUAUACACACCAGAAGAGGUAAAUCGUAACACGGUAAGCGUACUGGAAAGUGCGCUUGGAUUAAUAAAAUGUAGCUUAAUUAAAGCAUCUUGCUUACACCAAGAACAUGUCCGUUCAACUCACAUCAUUUUGAGCCAAAAACUUAGCUCUUUGCCCUUAAUAAAAAUUUUUUCAACUAACAACCCCCU